rnacentral:lncRNA from 1 species
UCGUCUGUGUGUUUAAUACUUCGCCAUGUCAACCACAUACAUGUUCAGUGGCCAAGUACUAACUUCUCUUGGACACAAGCCACUCUGUGCACAGUCAGGUUAUGCUGGGUUCUGAUUGCUUGGGUCCUGUUGUGGUCCUACUAGUCCCAACACCAGUUAGCAGUACAAAGCCUUAUGAAUUUUGAUGAAAACCCUGGCCAUGCCAACAUUCCAUGUUAUUUUUGUGUACGAUUAAUUCACAUUAUUUUUUUUGCAUUCAAAGUCUUGCUCCAAUAUCUGCUAUUUUAUCAUGAGCAAAUUACUUAACCUUGAUAAGCCUCAGUUUCCUGACUGUAAAAUGGCAAAACUCAUAGUACCUACUUCUUAAGUUGUCAUGAGGAUUAACUGAGUUGUUACGGCAAAGGCCUAGGAAUAGGUCUUGACACAUUGUAAGUGUGAAAUUAUUAUCUUAUAAAUGAUAAUGUCCAGCUAAUAUAUCCUGCAAAUGGGAUGCUUCCAAAUACCCUUUGAAUUCUCUUAAAAGAGCUGAAAAAUGUAUGUUUCUUGAUCUUGCACAUUAUAGGUUUCAAGCUUGUAGCCUACCUGACAGACACAUCCAGUGGACAUAUUUUACUUGCACAGCCUCAAGUUUCAAAAAAUUAGAAUCAGUGCUCCCUUUUUUUGUUUACAGACAGGGUCUCACUAUGUUGCCCAGGCUGGUCUCAAACUCCUGGGCUCAAGUGGUCUUUUCCCCUCAGCCUUCUGAGUAGCUGGGAUUACAGGUGCGCACGUUAUGUGGUAGACAACUUCAGACAUGGCUCCCAAUAGUCUUUACCUCGCCUAUUUAUGCCUGUUUAAGAAAAACUCAAAACGACUGGCUAAUGGCUCAUAUUUUAAAAUCAGGACCGUUCAUAUAAACAUCUGGCUUUCCAGCUUCUCCUGAGGAAUGGGAAGAGAUGGCACCGUGGUACACAUUCUUUCAGGCUGUCAUUUGGAGUUGACACUGCUGUGGUUGCUCACUGUGGAGAAGACAGACACUGUCCAGGUCAGAAACUCCUGGUUUACAACACUCUCAUUUUUCUACACCUGGGAAAGUUUCAGGCACUUGCCUUACCUGCCUGGCUCCUGAAAUAAUGAAAAUAAUGGCUAACACAUACACAGAGCAUGCUAUGAAUCAGGCACUAUCUCAAUCCAUCCCCACAACAAACCUAAGGGAGAAGUAUUGUUAUUGUCUCAUUUUAAGGAUGAGAGGACGUAGAACGGCUAAGGUUGUGCAGCUGGCAUGCGGCAGAGCUGGGAGUUGCACACUCUGACUCCCAAUUCUGGGCUCUCGCCCCUACACUCUACUCUAGAGUAACCCCUUAUUCCUACCUGGGUCAAGUUUUCUGCAGUUGUAUGAAUAAAAGGGGAACAUGCUCCAGGGUGUCCAUCUUCAGCUCUCGUCAUGUUGGCCAAGAGGGCUUAGUUGUGGAUGCCAAAGGUCAUGAUUUAUGGAAUUAGCUGCUUAAUUUCCCAGUCGCCCUCAACAUUCCCAGACUCAUCUCUGAUGCACAAGGAUAGUUCUACCCAGAAUAGAAGCUCCUGUUGGAGGCCACUGAAUUUAGAGUGAGGGUCUCUUCCUACACUGGAGUCUCCCCAACUCGACCCCGAGUGGCAGGACACAGAGAGAAAACCCAUCUUCAGGAGUUGGUACAUUCUGCUUAUCCCUAACAACCAUAGACACAUCCCUUCGUAGAUGACUGUAAACUAUCCAUUUUAUUCAGUUUCCGAUCAUGCUAGAAUCGAAUCAAGGUGGCACAUCCCUUUACUGAAAAUGUUAUGCUCU